UAAUCAAAUUCAAAAAAAACCUCAAAGAAAUUUCAAACAAACAAUAAGAAUUUUUAAAGAAAUAUUAGAAGCAUCACAAAUAUCACUCAAAUACAUCUCAAUUCAAUCUUAAUUUAAUUCUAGUUAAAAUUCUAUUGAACUUCAUUCAAACUUUAGGCCAAAAUUAAUUGAAUCUUAAAUCCUAAUAAAAUCCUAAUUCUUGAAUCAAAUCCUAAACAAAUCUUAAACCAAAUUCCAACCAAAUCCUAAACCAAAUCCUAGCCAAAUCCUAAAUAAAAUCAUAAUCAAGUCCUAAUCUAAAUCCCAAAUCCUAAACCAAAUCUUAAUCCAAAUUCUAAAUCCUAAAUUAAACCCUAAUCAAAUCCUAAAUUAAACCUUAACCAAAUCCUAAACCCUAAAUCUUAAACCAAACCCUAACCAAACCCUGAUCUAAAGACUAAAUCCUAACCAAACCCUAAAUCCUAAACCAAAUCCUAACUAAAUCCUAAACCAAAUCCUAAUUAAAUCCUAAAUCAAAUCUUAACUAAAUCCUAAAUCCUAAAUUAAACCCUAAUCAAAUCCUAAUUUAAAUCCUAUACCCUAAACCAAACCCUAACCAAAUCCUAAACCCUAAAUAAACUCCAACCAAACCUUAAAUCAAACCCUAAUCCAAAUCCUAAACCCUAAACCAAAUCCUAACCAAAUCCUAACCAAAUCCUAAACC
rnacentral:lncRNA from 1 species